UUUAUCAAAAACACAGCACUCUGCAAACACGAAAGUGGACGUAUAGGGUGUGACGCCUGCCCGGUGCUGGAAGGUUAAUUGAUGGGGUCAGCCGCAAGGCGAAGCUCUUGAUCGAAGUCCCAGUAAACGGCGGCCGUAACUAUAACGGUCCUAAGGUAGCGAAAUUCCUUGUCGGGUAAGUUCCGACCUGCACGAAUGGCGUAACGACAGCGGCGCUGUCUCCACCCGAGACUCA
rnacentral:rRNA from 1 species